rnacentral:lncRNA from 1 species
UGGAUAAAUUGUCAUAUGAGAUAGAAAUAAGGCCAUGCUGCAAAUUUUGAAAAUGUACAGCUUGAUAAAUGGGGGCAAACAUGAUCCAGGGUAAGAAGGGGCAAUUUGGUGACUUCACAAAAGAUACCAUUUAAUGAAAAUUUACUAGUUUUUUGUUUUUCUGUCUCCCAAAACAGGACACUCCUGGGUUUAUUGUGAACCGCCUCCUGGUUCCAUACCUCAUGGAAGCAAUCAGGCUGUAUGAACGAGGGCCUCCUGGCUUCCCUGUGGGCCUCUGAGAAAGGUUUCUGGAACUCCCACCACCCCCACUACAGUCCCAGCCAGAGCAAUUGCAUGGCCGGCCCAGAUUGAUAUCCUGGAUCUCUGCUUUUGAUUAAAAGGUGACGCAUCCAAAGAAGACAUUGACACUGCUAUGAAAUUAGGAGCCGGUUACCCCAUGGGCCCAUUUGAGCUUCUAGAUUAUGUCGGACUGGAUACUACGAAGUUCAUCGUGGAUGGGUGGCAUGAAAUGGAUGCAGAGAACCCAUUACAUCAGCCCAGCCCAUCCUUAAAUAAGCUGGUAGCAGAGAACAAGUUCGGCAAGAAGACUGGAGAAGGAUUUUACAAAUACAAGUGAUGUGCAGCUUCUCCGGCUCUGAGAAGAACACCUGAGAGCGCUUUCCAGCCAGUGCCCCGAGUGCCUGUGGGAAUGCUCUUUGGUCAGACAUUCCCUCACACAGUACAGUUUAAUAAAUGUGCAUUUUGAUUGUAA